GCCAGCAGCCAUAUCAUCCUGCAACUCACAGCUGACCGCCCACUGAAGCUCAGCAGGUGUGAGCCUCGUCAGUACCUGGAAGGGAGACUCCUGGAAAAACUAAGGUUGCUGCUGGUA
rnacentral:rRNA from 1 species